AUUAAAUAUGUCGUUUUACGUCGUAUAAUAUUGGGGAUAUGGCCCAAAAGUUUCUACCGAGCUGCCGUAAAUAGCUUGACUACGAGGUAAGUGCAAAUAGGG
rnacentral:ncRNA from 2 species